rnacentral:rRNA from 1 species
CCUACGGGUGGCUGCAGUGGGGAAUAUUGGACAAUGGGGGGAACCCUGAUCCAGCGACGCCGCGUGAGUGAAGAAGUAUUUCGGUAUGUAAAGCUCUAUCAGCAGGGAAGAAAGAAAUGACGGUACCUGACUAAGAAGCCCCGGCUAACUACGUGCCAGCAGCCGCGGUAAUACGUAGGGGGCAAGCGUUAUCCGGAUUUACUGGGGGUAAAGGGAGCGUAGACGGCGAUGCAAGUCUGAAGUGAAAGGCGGGGGCCCAACCCCUGGACUGCUUUGGAAACUGUAUGGCUGGAGUGCAGGAGAGGGAAGUGGAAUUCCUAGUGUAGCGGUGAAAUGCGUAGAUAUUAGGAGGAACAUCAGUGGCGAAGGCGGCCACCUGGACCGGUAUUGACGCUGAGGCGCGAAAGCGUGGGGAGCAAACAGGAUUAGAUACCCCAGUAGUC